AUGGAAGGUAACUUCACACGACACCAGUGAAAACGAAAGUAAAACGAGACAGCAUACAAAAGCGGAAUAUAUGGAACCAAAUGCUCUGUAAAACGUUGAUUCCUUUACCUACCCAUCGAUGAGUCACAAGGUGUUUGCUGGAAUGAUACUCACUCUGACAAGCAUAUGAGGAAAGGGGCCUCGGGAGUUCUCAGCUCUCCACGUGGCUCUGUGUUGCAGGAUUAACCCAUGGUAACUGCAUACUACACAACCAAUCUACAUAUACAGACAAACAAUUUGGAAAACGAUGCCAAACGUCCCUGUAGAAAUAUACUGCACAUAUGAUGGUACUCCAGCAAACUUGUACAUAUACUGUAUCAUGAUAUAAAGUACAAAAUUGCUCACUACACACACGAGACAUUAUAGAACUGCUCCUUGCUGCUGUGACUUUAAUUUGUUUGCACUAUACCCUUCAAGACCUUGUAAAGUGAAUUCAGAGAUGUGCUUCUAAAUAAAUGAUACAUGUUUGAAGAUAACUGCUGAAAUUAUGUGGAAAGACUGAGAACAAUACAGUACUGAAUUCUGAUGAUAGAGCAUUAAUCGAUUUUUCACCCUUUCAGUUUGACUUAGUUAUAAUUAAUACUUUCUACAUUCAUUUUCAUUCAAGAGUCCCAGGUUUUGUUCGAGACUCCAAGGACAAUACUAUAUACGUUGUACGAGCCUUUAUAUGUUGAGGGAUAAAGAGUGUGUUUGGCAACCAAUUCAGUGCGGCUACGGCCGCCAUUCAUGGCAGGCACGUUGCAGCUGCGUGAGAAUGUGAGGUGCGUUCAGGGGCACUGCAUAAAUAGGAGUGAAUGUGUUCUUUGGUGGUUCUUUUGUAAUGUAGUAUGUAAUUGUAAAAAUUGAUUACUAAGAAAAUUAUUUGUAUCAAAAUGCUUUAGUUAAAAAUCUGUACGAUCACAUGGUCAUAAUAUGGAAUUUAUUUUGUUUUCUAAUAUAAGAAUAGAUCAAAUAAAAUAUUUUGUUAAUAUAGUAGCCAAAGCUGCAAGGAAUGCAAAGUUAUCAAUGUCCUGUCACCCUAGUUGCUGUCAUACUGUGUUGCGUGUUUUUGUUUGCACUUUAAGGACAAAAGUCUUGUUUUUGCUUGAAUUCCUCAUUUAAAAAAAAGACUAUUCAAGUAACAUGUUUUACCUCAUGUU